CCGGACCUUACUGCUAUCGGGGUGGGACUAAGACAUGCGAGUCGAGCGUCUCUAGCUAUGUUGAGACGCGGCAGACGGCUCAGUAACACGUGGCUAACCUACCCUCAGGACGAGUACAAACCCGGGAAACUGGGGCUAAUACUCGAUAGGUGAGUAUGUCUGGAAUGAUUUCUCACUCAAAGGGCUUUGGAUACAUGCUUCCAACGUCGCCUGGGGAUGGGGCCGCGUCCGAUCAGGUUGUUGGUGAGGUAACGGCUCACCAAGCCUAUAACCGGUACGGGCCAUGAGAGUGGUAGCCCGGAGAUGGGUACUGAGACAAGGACCCAGGCCCUACGGGGCGCAGCAGUCGCGAAAACUCCGCAAUGCACGAAAGUGUGACGGGGCUACCCCGAGUGCCAUCCGCUGAGGGUGGCUUUUCUUUGGUAUAAUUAGCCAUUGGAAUAAGGAGAGGGCAAGACUGGUGUCAGCCGCCGCGGUAAUACCAGCUCUCCGAGUGGUAGGGAUGUUUAUUGGGCUUAAAGCGUCCGUAGCCGGCUUAGAAGUCUCCUGUUAAAUUCAGCGACCUAAUCGUUGACCCGCGGGAGAUACUACUAAGCUAGGAGGCGGGAGAGGUCGACGGUACUUCUGGGGUAGGGGUGAAAUCCUAUAAUCCCGGGAGGACCACCAGUGGCGAAUGCUGUCGACUAGAACGCGCUCGACGGUGAGGGACGAAAGCUGGCGGAGCGAACCGGAUUAUAUACCCGGGUAGUCACAGCCGUAAACGAUGCUGGCUACGUGUUGGGAUGGCUACGUGCCAUCUCAGUGCCGCAUGGAAACCAUUAAUGCCGCCGCCUGAGGAGUACCGCAGCCAUGCUGAAACUUAAAGGAAUUGGCCGGGGAGCAC
rnacentral:rRNA from 1 species